UACGGAGGAUGCGAGCGUUAUCCGGAUUUAUUGGGUUUAAAGGGAGCGUAGACGGAGGAUUAAGUCAGUUGUGAAAGUUUGCGGCUCAACCGUAAAAUUGCAGUUGAUACUGGUCCCCUUGAGUGCAGUUGAGGCAGGCGGAAUUCGUGGUGUAGCGGUGAAAUGCUUAGAUAUCACGAAGAACCCCGAUUGCGAAGGCAGCCUGCUAAGCUGUAACUGACGUUGAUGCUCGAAAGUGUGGGUAUCAAACAGG
rnacentral:rRNA from 1 species